rnacentral:rRNA from 1 species
GUCUACGGCCAUGCCACCCUGAACAUGCCCAAUCUCGUCUGAUCUCAGAAGCUAAGCAGGGUCGGGUCUGGUUAGUACUUGGAUGAGAGACCACCUAGGAAGACCAGGUGGUAGGCA